rnacentral:misc_RNA from 2 species
AGUAGUAACAAGAGGG